rnacentral:rRNA from 1 species
GUGACUGCGUACCUUUUGUAUAAUGGGUCAGCGACUUAUAUUCUGUAGCAAGGUUAACCGUAUAGGGGAGCCGAAGGGAAACCGAGUCUUAACUGGGCGUUAAGUUGCAGGGUAUAGACCCGAAACCCGGUGAUCUAGCCAUGGGCAGGUUGAAGGUUGGGUAACACUAACUGGAGGACCGAACCGACUAAUGUUGAAAAAUUAGCGGAUGACUUGUGGCUGGGGGUGAAAGGCCAAUCAAACCGGGAGAUAGCUGGUUCUCCCCGAAAGCUAUUUAGGUAGCGCCUCGUGAACUCAUCUUCGGGGGUAGAGCACUGUUUCGGCUAGGGGGUCAUCCCGACUUACCAACCCGAUGCAAACUGCGAAUACCGAAGAAUGUUAUCACGGGAGACACACGGCGGGUGCUAACGUCCGUCGUGAAGAGGGAAACAACCCAGACCGCCAGCUAAGGUCCCAAAGUCAUGGUUAAGUGGGAAACGAUGUGGGAAGGCACAGACAGCCAGGAUGUUGGCUUAGAAGCAGCCAUCAUUUAAAGAAAGCGUAAUAGCUCACUGGUCGAGUCGGCCUGCGCGGAAGAUGUAACGGGGCUAAACCAUGCACCGAAGCUGCGGCAGCGACACUAUGUGUUGUUGGGUAGGGGAGCGUUCUGUAAGCCGUUGAAGGUGUAUCGUGAGGUAUGCUGGAGGUAUCAGAAGUGCGAAUGCUGACAUAAGUAACGAUAAUGCGGGUGAAAAACCCGCACGCCGGAAGACCAAGGGUUCCUGUCCAACGUUAAUCGGGGCAGGGUGAGUCGACCCCUAAGGCGAGGCCGAAAGGCGUAGUCGAUGGGAAACAGGUUAAUAUUCCUGUACUUGGUGUUACUGCGAAGGGGGGACGGAGAAGGCUAUGUUAGCCGGGCGACGGUUGUCCCGGUUUAAGCAUGUAGGCGGAGGUUCCAGGUAAAUCCGGUACCUUUUUAACGCUGAGGUGUGAUGACGAGGCACUACGGUGCUGAAGUAACAAAUGCCCUGCUUCCAGGAAAAGCCUCUAAGCAUCAGGUAACACGAAAUCGUACCCCAAACCGACACAGGUGGUCAGGUAGAGAAUACCAAGGCGCUUGAGAGAACUCGGGUGAAGGAACUAGGCAAAAUGGUGCCGUAACUUCGGGAGAAGGCACGCUGAUAUGUAGGUGAAGUGAUUUACUCAUGGAGCUGAAAUCAGUCGAAGAUACCAGCUGGCUGCAACUGUUUAUUAAAAACACAGCACUGUGCAAACACGAAAGUGGACGUAUACGGUGUGACGCCUGCCCGGUGCCGGAAGGUUAAUUGAUGGGGUUAUCCGUAAGGAGAAGCUCUUGAUCGAAGCCCCGGUAAACGGCGGCCGUAACUAUAACGGUCCUAAGGUAGCGAAAUUCCUUGUCGGGUAAGUUCCGACCUGCACGAAUGGCGUAAUGAUGGCCAGGCUGUCUCCACCCGAGACUCAGUGAAAUUGAACUCGCUGUGAAGAUGCAGUGUACCCGCGGCAAGACGGAAAGACCCCGUGAACCUUUACUAUAGCUUGACACUGAACACUGGUCCUUGAUGUGUAGGAUAGGUGGGAGGCUUUGAAGUGUGGACGCCAGUCUGCAUGGAGCCAUCCUUGAAAUACCACCCUUUAAUGGCUGGUGUUCUAACGUGGACCCGUUACCCGGGUUGCGGACAGUGUCUGGUGGGUAGUUUGACUGGGGCGGUCUCCUCCUAAAGAGUAACGGAGGAGCACGAAGGUUAGCUAAUCCUGGUCGGACAUCAGGAGGUUAGUGCAAAGGCAUAAGCUAGCUUGACUGCGAGAGUGACGGCUCGAGCAGGUGCGAAAGCAGGUCUUAGUGAUCCGGUGGUUCUGAAUGGAAGGGCCAUCGCUCAACGGAUAAAAGGUACUCCGGGGAUAACAGGCUGAUACCGCCCAAGAGUUCAUAUCGACGGCGGUGUUUGGCACCUCGAUGUCGGCUCAUCACAUCCUGGGGCUGAAGUAGGUCCCAAGGGUAUGGCUGUUCGCCAUUUAAAGUGGUACGCGAGCUGGGUUUAGAACGUCGUGAGACAGUUCGGUCCCUAUCUGCCGUGGGCGCUGGAGAAUUGAGGGGGGCUGCUCCUAGUACGAGAGGACCGGAGUGGACGCAUCACUGGUGUUCGGGUUGUCAUGCCAAUGGCAUUGCCCGGUAGCUAAAUGCGGAAGAGAUAAGUGCUGAAAGCAUCUAAGCACGAAACUUGCCCCGAGAUGAGUUCUCCCUGAGACUUUAAGUCUCCUGAAGGAACGUUGAAGACGAUGACGUUGAUAGGUCGGGUGUGUAAGUGUAGCGAUACAUUGAGCUAACCGAUAC